rnacentral:rRNA from 1 species
GACAGAGGGUGCAAACGUUGUUCGGAAUUACUGGGCGUAAAGCGCGUGUAGGCAGUUUCGCAAGUCGGGUGUGAAAGCCCUGGGCUCAACCUAGGAAGUGCACUCGAAACUGCGAGACUUGAGUCCUGGAGAGGAAGGCGGAAUUCUCGGUGUAGAGGUGAAAUUCGUAGAUAUCGAGAGGAACACCGGUGGCGAAGGCGGCCUUCUGGACAGUGACUGACGCUGAGACGCGAAAGCGUGGGGAGCAAACGGG